AGAAUGCAGUGAGGGUAGCGACCGGGCUACACAGGUGAUGAAGGGGGGAACUGCAUCCUGGGAUCCGCAGUUUCGCCUGUCCACCCGCCAAAUCCUAAGAGUGGCUGAGCGCAGUUAUUGGGGAGUGUAGAAACAGGGUUUCACCAUGUUGGCCAUGCUGGUCUCGAACUCCAGAACUCAAGUGAUCCGUCCGCCUCGGUCUUCCAAACUGCUGGGAUUACAGGCGUGAGCCACCGCGCCCAGCCUUUGGGGAAGUUCUUUUUACCGUCCAUCAUCCAUUGCCACCACACCUUCUGCUUACGAGUUAUUUAUAAUAAGUUUAACUAAAAGAGAACGAGAGAACAUCCCCUGAAACCCAAAGUUUGUCAUUCUAUACAGCUUUCCUGCCUGCAAAAGAGGAGGAGCAGACUCAUCCAGCAAAUCACCUAAAAAGUUUGAAGAUCAAAAAGCCUAGCUCCAGUUUCAGAUCCUUCCCCUACCUUUCUGAACACUAGUUUCUUCCUCUGAAAAACGAAAGAGGGAACGGGACCGUAGAGUGGAGUGGGCACAAGAAUCGCAAGUCCCUUCU
rnacentral:lncRNA from 1 species